CUGCGACCCCAGGUCAGGCGGGACUACCCGCUGAGU
rnacentral:rRNA from 1 species